UACUUGGUUGAUCCUUGAAGUAGUCAUAUGCUUGUCUUAAAGAUUAAGCCAUGCAUGUGUAAUUAUGAACUAAUUCAGACUGUGAAAUUGCGAAUGAUUCAUUAAAUCAAUUAUAGUUUGUUUGAUGGUAUCUACUACUAUAAUAACCGUAGAAAUUAUAGAGCUAAUACGUGCAAAAAACCCCAACUUCUGGAAGGGAUACAUUUAUUAGAUAAAUGGUCGACUCAGGCUCUGCCUGUUGCUUUGAUGAUUCAUCAUAACUUGUUGGAUCGUGCGACCUUUAUGCCUGUAAUGCAUCAUUCAAAUUUCUGCCCCAUCAACUUUCUAUGGUAGGAUAGUGGCCUACAAUGAUGGUGACGGGUGAUGGAGAAUUAGGGUUUGAUUCCGGAGAGGGAGCCUGAGAAAUGGCUACCACAUUGAACAAAGGUAACUAGCAUGCAAAUUUCCAAAUCCUAACACAGGGAGGUAGUGACAAUACAUUACAAUACCGAGCCCAUUGAGUCUGGUAAUUGGAAUGAGUACAAUCUAAAUCCGUAAACGAGGAUCCAUUGGAGGGUAAGUCUAAUGCCAACAACCAUCAUAUUUCCAGCUCCAAUAACGUAUAUUUAAGUUGUUGUAGUUAAAAAGGUCGUAGUUGGACCUUGGGUUGGGUCGAUCAGUCCGCCAUUGGUGUGCACCGGUAGGCUCGUCCCUUCUUAAAGCGAUGCACUCCUGGCCUUAAUUGGUCGGGUCAUGUCUCUUACGCUGUUACUUUGAAGAAAUUAUAGUGCUCCAAGCAAGACUACGCUUUGGAUAUAUUAGCAUGGGAUAACACCACAAGAUUAUGAUCCUAUUGUGUUGGCCUUCGCGAUCAGAGUGAUGAUUAACAGGGAUAGUCGGGGGCAUUCGUAUUUCAUAGUAAAAGGUGAAAUUCUUGGAUUUAUGAAAGACGAACAACUGCAAAAGCAUUUGGCAAGGAUGUUUUCAUUAAUCAAGAACGAAAGUUGGGGGCUCUAAGAUGAUCAGAUGUCAUCCUAGUCUCAACCAUAAACGAUGUCGAUCAGGGAUCAUCGAAUGUUGCUUUUAGGACUCCAUUGGCACCUUAAUAGAAAUCAAAUACUUUGGGUUCUGGGGGGAGUAUGGUUGCAAGGCUGAAACAUAAAGGAAUUGACGGAAGGGAUCACAAGGAGUGGAGCUAGAGGCUUAAUUUGACCCAACAUGGAGAAACUUACCAGGUCCAAACAUAGUAAGGAUUAACAGACAUAGAGCUUAUUCUUGACUCUAUGGGUAGUGGUGCAUCGCUAGUCUUAGUUGGUGGAGCAAUUUUUCUGGUUAAUUCCGUUAACGAACUUGACCUCAAUCUACUAACUAGCUAUGUGGAGGUAACCUUCCACGACCAGCUUCUUAGAGGGACUAUGGCCACUUAGGCCACAUAAGUUUGAGACAAUAACAGGUUUUGAUGCCCUUAGAUGUUUGGGACUGCACACGUGCUACACUAUUUUAUUCAACGAAUCUAUAGUCUUGGCCGACGGGCCCGGGUAAUCUUUGAAGUUUCGUCCUGAUGGGGAGAGAUAAUUGCAAUUAUUGUUCUUCAACAAGGAACUCCUAGUAAGUGCGAGUCAUCACCUCGCAUUGACUAUGCCUCUGCCCUUUGUACAUACUGCUUGUUGCUGCUACUGAUUGAAUGGUCCUGUGAAGUGUUCGAACUUCAACAACGUGGGUGAUUCACAGUCGGCGAUGUUGUGAGAAGUCCACUAAACCUUACAUUUAGAGGAAGUAGAAGUCGUAACAAGGUUUAUGUAUGUGAACAUGUAGAAGGAUCAUUG
rfam:Lupinus angustifolius cultivar Tanjil contig_35008, whole genome shotgun sequence.